rnacentral:rRNA from 1 species
GAUGAACGCUGGCGGCGUGCCUAAUACAUGCAAGUCGAGCGAACAGAUGAGGAGCUUGCUCCUCUGACGUUAGCGGCGGACGGGUGAGUAACACGUGGAUAACCUACCUAUAAGACUGGGAUAACUUCGGGAAACCGGAGCUAAUACCGGAUAAUAUAUUGAACCGCAUGGUUCAAUAGUGAAAGACGGUUUUGCUGUCACUUAUAGAUGGAUCCGCGCCGCAUUAGCUAGUUGGUAAGGUAACGGCUUACCAAGGCAACGAUGCGUAGCCGACCUGAGAGGGUGAUCGGCCACACUGGAACUGAGACACGGUCCAGACUCCUAAGGGAGGCCGCAGUAGGGAAUCUUCCGCAAUGGGCGAAAGCCUGACGGAGCAACGCCGCGUGAGUGAUGAAGGUCUUCGGAUCGUAAAACUCUGUUAUUAGGGAAGAACAAAUGUGUAAGUAACUAUGCACGUCUUGACGGUACCUAAUCAGAAAGCCACGGCUAACUACGUG